rnacentral:rRNA from 1 species
CCCAGACUCCUACGGGAGGCAGCAGUGGGGAAUAUUGCACAAUGGGGGGAACCCUGAUGCAGCGACGCCGCGUGGGUGAAGGAGCACCUCGGUGCGUAAAGCCCUAUCGGCAGGGAAGAAACAGACGGUACCUGACUAAGAAGCCCCGGCUAACUACGUGCCAGCAGCCGCGGUAAUACGUAGGGGGCCAGCGUUAUCCGGAUUCGCUGGGUGUAAAGGGAGCGUAGACGGCGAAGCAAGUCUGGAGUGAAAGCCCGGGGCCCAACCCCGGGACUGCUCUUGGAACUGCGUGGCUGGAGUGCAGGAGGGGCAGGCGGAAUUCCUGGUGUAGCGGUGAAAUGCGUAGAUAUCAGGAGGAACACCGGCGGCGAAGGCGGCCUGCUGGACCGUGACUGACGUUGAGGCUCGAGAGCGUGGGGAGCAAACAGGAUUAGAUACCCUAGUAC